rnacentral:lncRNA from 1 species
CAGGCUGAAUCGAAGCAGCAAGAUCGGUGGCAGAAUGCUGCAGUUUAACUGGAUUUAACAACGGUGUGGGGCUCUGUCCUCGAAUGAAGAGGAAGCUAAUAUCGAUUUAUUUUAAUCUUCUUGGUUUGGACAGGUGUAGCGUAAUAUCAUGCAAAUGAAAGCCAACAUUUUUAUGUGGGCUGUUUACACAGCGGCACCUCGUUUACAUGCUGAUUGAUUUUAGUUCAAGAUGUCUUUAUCUGCAUCUACAAAUAUCCCACCUGCACUGACAGCGGAUCAGCUAACGGUCAUCGUGGCCUCCGUGUCCUGCCUGGUGUUCUUCGUAGUGAUUCUCGUGCUCCUGGUGGUCUUGUACAGGAAAGACCCUUUCUGCUGCAGGGUGUCGAACAACCAGCACUGUACACUUCCAGGGAGGCUGUUUAUCAUCGGUAAGCCCAGUAGCUAUCACCUGGAUGGGAUCCUGCCCCGCCUUCCGUCCUACGAGAGCGUCCGUAAGAAGGACCGUCAGAGACAGAUCCACUCUAUGAUAGCCAACCGCUUUGGUAUCAGCCCCACACAGUCUGAAACGGAGCCUCCUCCGACGUAUGAGGAGACUCUUCGCCAGUCCAUGAUCAUCUCCUCUGAAGACCUACAGUCUGUUGAGGCACGUCCCUCAGACCUCCCUCUCUCCACCUCUACCUCCAGCCUUGAACACACAGUGACAGUAGCCCGGUCACCCUACCACCCUAUUCAGAGCCCGACCCAGGAACCCCUCUCUGUCUAGUCCAGGAGUUAUUUGAGGGCCGGAACACUACUGGUUUUCAACUUCGCAUUUUAACUACAGACUCAUGUUUCUACCCUUUGCAAGAGAAAAGAAGACAAAUCAACAAAGAAAGAGACAUUGUCAUGAUAAUGCAUGAGUCAGUUUCACUCAGAGUUUGU